CAGUAGCCGCGGUAAUACAGAGGGUGCGAGCGUUAAUCGGAUUUACUGGGCGUAAAGCGUGCGUAGGCGGCUUCUUAAGUCGGAUGUGAAAUCCCUGAGCUUAACUUAUGAAUUGCAUUCGAUACUGGGAAGCUAGAGUAUGGGAGAGGAUGGUAGAAUUCCAGGUGUAGCGGUGAAAUGCGUAGAGAUCUGGAGGAAUACCGAUGGCGAAGGCAGCCAUCUGGCCUAAUACUGACGCUGAGGUACGAAAGCAUGGGGAGCAAACAGGAUUAGAUACCCCUGUAGUCCCUGUCUCUUAUAC
rnacentral:rRNA from 1 species